rnacentral:rRNA from 1 species
AGAGUUUGAUCCUGGCUCAGAUUGAACGCUGGCGGCAUGCCUUACACAUGCAAGUCGAGCGGCAGCGCGGGGGCAACCCUGGCGGCGAGCGGCGAACGGGUGAGUAAUGCAUCGGAACGUGUCCUUUUGUGGGGGAUAACCAGUCGAAAGACUGGCUAAUACCGCAUGAGCUCGAGAGAGGAAAGCAGGGGAUCCGCAAGGACCUUGCGCGAGAGGAGCGGCCGAUGCCCGAUUAGCUAGUUGGUGGGGUAACGGCCUACCAAGGCGACGAUCGGUAGCUGGUCUGAGAGGACGACCAGCCACACUGGGACUGAGACACGGCCCACACUCCUACGGGAGGCAGCAGUGGGGAAUUUUGGACAAUGGGGGCAACCCUGAUCCAGCCAUGCCGCGUGUGUGAAGAAGGCCUUCGGGUUGUAAAGCACUUUCGGCCGGAACGAAAUCGCGCGAUCUAAUAAGUCGCGUGGAUGACGGUACCGGAAGAAGAAGCACCGGCUAACUACGUGCCAGCAGCCGCGGUAAUACGUAGGGUGCGAGCGUUAAUCGGAAUUACUGGGCGUAAAGUGUGCGCAGGUGGCCGCGCAAGUCGAGUGUGAAAUCCCCGAGCUUAACUUGGGAAUUGCGCUCGAAACUACGCGGCUCGAGUGUGGCAGAGGAGGGUGGAAUUCCACGUGUAGCGGUGAAAUGCGUAGA